CUUAUCGGUUCUCGUUAGAUCACCGAAGUCAAGCAUCAUUGGGCGCGGUCAGUACUUGGGUGGGUGACCACCUGGGAACACCGCGUGCCGUU
rnacentral:rRNA from 1 species